UUUAUAAAGGCAUUUAGUUUAUUUUUCAAAAAAUAUGUUUGCUAGAAGGUUUGAGUAAUUUUACAUGAUCACAAUCUUUAAAUAAAUUUUUUCUGACCAAAAGGUACCAUUUAAGUGGACAGCUUGUCUAGAUCUGCUUUUGUUAACACCCAAAUACAAUUAGCAUGUCUGAUGGUAUUCCCUAGGUCUUCUUAAAUUAUCUACAGGCCAGGAGGCAGAGCCUAGCACAUAACAAAGUAUGUGCUUUAUAACUGCUUAUUAGUUCAGUUUCAUAACAAUUAAGCAGAGCAGGUAGUCAGUAUAUCUAAUUCACACUAUUAACACACUGGUUCUUGCCUGAAGGGUCUGAUCCAUGCAGAGCUCGCAGUUAUUCCUUCUAACCCAGGAAGUAGUAAACCACAACUGCAGAGAAAGGGGGCAGCUCUACUUAGGCUACUGCUGGCGAUGUCUCAGGUCUGUUCCUUUGUUCCAACUCUGAAUUCAAGGUGACCAGUGUUAAUUAUAUUCAAUGAUAUGUAGAAAAUAAAAUGCAAAGCCCCAAAAAAGAUUUGGGGACUGCUGGCAGCAAGCAGCUGCUGCUUCUCCCUUUCUUAAGAGAAGAUUGG
rnacentral:lncRNA from 1 species